UGGGAUUUGAAACGCCUUC
rnacentral:piRNA from 1 species